rnacentral:lncRNA from 1 species
UUGGCUGUCCCUCCGCAUCCAUAAUGUAAUUAAAACAAGGGGGGAAAAAUUAUCAUGGAGGCAGAGGUUAAUGCAAGUGUUUAGCAGAUGCCUCACUGUAAAAUCUGCAUUAAAAAAAAAAAAAAAACCUAACAAACAAAAAUACAAAAAUCUCAUUAAAACUUAAAUAUCGGAUAAUCUCAAACCAGCUUGCUGCCUGCGCCUACGCACCUCGACCAGUAUUCACUCGACUCAGUUAUGCUCCUGAAAUCAGUUUCAUGCUUGUUUAACUGGUCUGAUCGCAGCAAAACACAAGGAUACAACGGGUUUACGACUCAGCUAUUUCACAGG